rnacentral:rRNA from 1 species
AUUGAACGCUGGCGGCAUGCUUUACACAUGCAAGUCGAACGGUAACAGGCCGCAAGGUGCUGACGAGUGGCGAACGGGUGAGUAAUGCAUCGGAACGUGCCCAGUCGUGGGGGAUAACGCAGCGAAAGCUGCGCUAAUACCGCAUACGAUCUAUGGAUGAAAGCGGGGGACCGUAAGGCCUCGCGCGAUUGGAGCGGCCGAUGUCAGAUUAGGUAGUUGGUGGGGUAAAGGCUCACCAAGCCAACGAUCUGUAGCUGGUCUGAGAGGACGACCAGCCCCACUGGGACUGAGACACGGCCCAGACUCCUACGGGAGGCAGCAGUGGGGAAUUUUGGACAAUGGGCGCAAGCCUGAUCCAGCAAUGCCGCGUGCAGGAAGAAGGCCUUCGGGUUGUAAACUGCUUUUGUACGGAACGAAACGGUCCGGGUUAAUACCCUGGGCUAAUGACGGUACCGUAAGAAUAAGCACCGGCUAACUACGUGCCAGCAGCCGCAGUAAAAC